GUGAUGUCUUCUGCCAUCUUGUGAUGCAGCAAGAAGGCCCUCACCAGAUGUCUCAGUGCCAUGCUCUUAGACUUCCCAUCCUCCAGAACUGGCCUUGCAUGAUGUACAUGCUCAGAAAUGUUGAUAAAUGAAUGAACAGAUGAAUGAACAAAUAUCACAUCGAUGAUAUGACACUGCAAUACUACUGACAUUGACAACACUAGGCAUUACAGUAAAAGCAUUCAAUGUUA